AUUGAACGCUGGCGGCAGGCCUAACACAUGCAAGUCGAGCGCGCGGCGGACGGGUGAGUAAUGUAUGUGGAUCUGCCCGAUAGAGGGGGAUAACUACUCGAAAGAGUGGAUAAUACCGCAUACUAUUGGAGCGGACGAUAUCGGAUUAGCUCGUUGGUGGGGUAAAGGCUCACAAAGGCAACGAUCCGUAGCUGGUUUGAGAGGACGACCAGCCACACUGGGACUGAGACACGGCCCAGACUCCUACGGGAGGCAGCAGUGGGGAAUUUUGGACAAUGGGGGAAACCCUGAUCCAGCCAUCCCGCGUGUAUGAGAAGGCCUUCGGGUUGUAAAGUACUUUUGGCAGAGAAGCGGUAUCUGCAGAAUAAGCACCGGCUAACUACGUGCCAGCAGCCGCGGUAAUUC
rnacentral:rRNA from 1 species